UACGGAGGGUGCAAGCGUUAUCCGGAUUCGCUGGGGUUAAAGGGUGCGUAGGCGGGUUGGUAAGUCCGUGGUGAAAUCUCCGAGCUUAACUCGGAAACUGCCGUGGAUACUAUCAAUCUUGAAUAUCGUGGAGGUAAGCGGAAUAUGUCAUGUAGCGGUGAAAUGCUUAGAUAUGACAUAGAACACCAAUUGCGUAGGCAGCUUACUACACGAUCAUUGACGCUGAGGCACGAAAGCGUGGGGAGCAAACAGG
rnacentral:rRNA from 1 species